rnacentral:rRNA from 1 species
UACGUAUGGUGCAAGCGUUAUCCGGAUUUACUGGGUGUAAAGGGAGCGUAGGUGGUCAGGCAAGUCAGGAGUGAAAUACCGGGGCUCAACCCCGGGGCUGCUCUUGAAACUGCAGGACUGGAGUGCAGGAGGGGUAAGCGGAAUUCCUAGUGUAGCGGUGAAAUGCGUAGAUAUUAGGAGGAACACCGGUGGCGAAGGCGGCUUACUGGACUGUAACUGACACUGAGGCACGAAAGCGUGGGUAUCGAAC